rnacentral:rRNA from 1 species
UAAGCCUGUGAAGGUGUGUCGUGAGGCAUGCUGGAGGUAUCAGAAGUGCGAAUGCUGACAUAAGUAACGAUAAAGCGGGUGAAAAGCCCGCUCGCCGGAAGACCAAGGGUUCCUGUCCAACGUUAAUCGGGGCAGGGUGAGUCGACCCCUAAGGCGAGGCCGAAAGGCGUAGUCGAUGGGAAACGGGUUAAUAUUCCCGUACUUGGUGUUACUGCGAAGGGGGGACGGAGAAGGCUAUGUUGGCCGGGCGACGGUUGUCCCGGUUUAAGCGUGUAGGUGUGUGUUCCAGGUAAAUCCGGUUCACUUUAACACUGAGGCGUGACGACGAGGCACUACGGUGCUGAAGCAACAAAUGCCCUGCUUCCAGGAAAAGCCUCUAAGCAUCAGGUAACAUCAAAUCGUACCCCAAACCGACACAGGUGGUCAGGUAGAGAAUACCAAGGCGCUUGAGAGAACUCGGGUGAAGGAACUAGGCAAAAUGGUGCCGUAACUUCGGGAGAAGGCACGCUGACACGUAGGUGAAGUGAUUUACUCAUGGAGCUGAAGUCAGUCGAAGAUACCAGCUGGCUGCAACUGUUUAUUAAAAACACAGCACUGUGCAAACACGAAAGUGGACGUAUACGGUGUGACGCCUGCCCGGUGCCGGAAGGUUAAUUGAUGGGGUCAGCGCAAGCGAAGCUCCUGAUCGAAGCCCCGGUAAACGGCGGCCGUAACUAUAACGGUCCUAAGGUAGCGAAAUUCCUUGUCGGGUAAGUUCCGACCUGCACGAAUGGCGUAAUGAUGGCCAGGCUGUCUCCACCCGAGACUCAGUGAAAUUGAACUCGCUGUGAAGAUGCAGUGUACCCGCGGCAAGACGGAAAGACCCCGUGAACCUUUACUAUAGCUUGACACUGAACAUUGAGCCUUGAUGUGUAGGAUAGGUGGGAGGCUUUGAAGCGUGGACGCCAGUCUGCGUGGAGCCGACCUUGAAAUACCACCCUUUAAUGUUUGAUGUUCUAACGUGGACCCGUGAUCCGGGUUGCGGACAGUGUCUGGUGGGUAGUUUGACUGGGGCGGUCUCCUCCUAAAGAGUAACGGAGGAGCACGAAGGUUGGCUAAUCCUGGUCGGACAUCAGGAGGUUAGUGCAAUGGCAUAAGCCAGCUUGACUGCGAGCGUGACGGCGCGAGCAGGUGCGAAAGCAGGUCAUAGUGAUCCGGUGGUUCUGAAUGGAAGGGCCAUCGCUCAACGGAUAAAAGGUACUCCGGGGAUAACAGGCUGAUACCGCCCAAGAGUUCAUAUCGACGGCGGUGUUUGGCACCUCGAUGUCGGCUCAUCACAUCCUGGGGCUGAAGUAGGUCCCAAGGGUAUGGCUGUUCGCCAUUUAAAGUGGUACGCGAGCUGGGUUUAGAACGUCGUGAGACAGUUCGGUCCCUAUCUGCCGU